rnacentral:rRNA from 1 species
CCUACGGGAGGCAGCAGUGAGGAAUAUUGGUCAAUGGGCGAGAGCCUGAACCAGCCAAGUCGCGUGAGGGAGUACUGCCCUAUGGGUUGUAAACCUCUUUUGUCGGGGAGCAAAAGCCGGACGUGUCCGGCUGUGAGAGUACCCGAAGAAAAAGCAUCGGCUAACUCCGUGCCAGCAGCCGCGGUAAUACGGGGGAUGCGAGCGUUAUCCGGGGUUAUUGGGUUUAAAGGGUGCGCAGGCGGAUUGUUAAGUCAGCGGUAAAAUCGUGGGGCUCAACCCCAUCCAGCCGUUGAAACUGGGGAUCUAGAGUGUGCGAGAGGUAUGCGGAAUGCGUGGUGUAGCGGUGAAAUGCAUAGAUAUCACGCAGAACCCCGAUUGCGAAGGCAGCAUACCGGUGCACAACUGACGCUCAGGCACGAAAGCGUGGGUAUCGAACAGGAUUAGAUACCCCAGUAGUC